GCCGCGGUAGCCCAAUCGGCAGAGGCGUCCCGCUCAAGACGGGAGCAGUGCGGGUUCGAAUCCCGCUCACGGCA
rnacentral:tRNA from 1 species